AGUGAACGCUGGCGGUAGGCCUAACACAUGCAAGUCGAACGGCAGCACAGUAAGAGCUUGCUCUUACGGGUGGCGAGUGGCGGACGGGUGAGGAAUACAUCGGAAUCUACUUUUUCGUGGGGGAUAACGUAGGGAAACUUACGCUAAUACCGCAUACGACCUACGGGUGAAAGCAGGGGAUCUUCGGACCUUGCGCGAUUGAAUGAGCCGAUGUCGGAUUAGCUAGUUGGCGGGGUAAAGGCCCACCAAGGCGACGAUCCGUAGCUGGUCUGAGAGGAUGAUCAGCCACACUGGAACUGAGACACGGUCCAGACUCCUACGGGAGGCAGCAGUGGGGAAUAUUGGACAAUGGGCGCAAGCCUGAUCCAGCCAUACCGCGUGGGUGAAGAAGGCCUUCGGGUUGUAAAGCCCUUUUGUUGGGAAAGAAAAGCAGCAGGUUAACACCCCGCUGUUCUGACGGUACCCAAAGAAUAAGCACCAGCUAACUUCGUG
rnacentral:rRNA from 1 species